GCUCUAUUAGGUGAGCGCUUUCUUUGUAGUUUGGGGUCUCUAUGAGUUUUGUGUGGUAUUGCUGGUUGGGGUCGUUGUGAGCCUCCAAAGUGCAUUUUAGCCAACAUCACUGGCUAUGUUGUUGGGAGUAGUCCGCAAAAGAGGUUCACCAUUUUUUUCCAUAAAAACUUGGCUAUUCAAUUAUUCUUUUGCUCUUUGUAACUGACUGAUUGAGCUCCUGCUA